rnacentral:rRNA from 1 species
AAUAUUGCGCAAUGGGGGAAACCCUGACGCAGCAAUGCCACGUGAGUGAGGAAUGCCUUCGGGUUGUAAAGCUCUGUCCUAUAGGAAGAACGGCAUUAUGGUUAAUACCCAUAGUGUUUGACGGUACUAUAGAAGAAAGCACCGGGUAACUCCGUGCCAGCAGCCGCGGUAAUACGGAGGGUGCAAGCGUUGUUUGGAUUUAAUGGGCGUAAAGCGCGCGCAGGCGGAUUAACAAGUUAGAUGUGAAAUCCCAGGGGUUAACCCUGGAAAUGCGUCUGAAACUGGUAGUAUAGAGUCUCACAGGGGGUAGGGGAAUUUCACGUGUAGGGGUAAAAUCCGUAGAGAUGUGAAGGAACACCAGUGGCGAAGGCGCCUACCUGGAUGAGUACUGACGCUGAGGCGCGAAAGCGUGGGGAGCAAACAGGAUUAGAUACCCUGGUAGUCCACGCCGUA